rnacentral:rRNA from 1 species
AUACAGAGGGUGCAAGCGUUAAUCGGAUUUACUGGGCGUAAAGCGCGCGUAGGUGGCUAAUUAAGUCAAAUGUGAAAUCCCCGAGCUUAACUUGGGAAUUGCAUUCGAUACUGGUUAGCUAGAGUAUGGGAGAGGAUGGUAGAAUUCCAGGUGUAGCGGUGAAAUGCGUAGAGAUCUGGAGGAAUACCGAUGGCGAAGGCAGCCUGCUGGCAUAAUACUGACACUGAGUUGCGAAAUCAUGGGGAGCAAACAGGAUUAGACACCCUGGUAGUCCAUGCCGUAAACGAUGUCUACUAGCCGUUGGGGCCCCUGAGGCUUUAGUGGCGCAGCUAACGCGAUAAGUAGACCGCCUGGGGAGUACGGUCGCAAGACUAAAACUCAAAUGAAUUGGCGGGG